rnacentral:rRNA from 1 species
AUGGAGGGCGCGAGGAUCUGGACGGCGCGGGGCUACGGCGGCGGCUACGAGUCGGUGUCGGUGGGCGACGGCAUGAGCAUCUUCGGCCAGAGACAGAGCCAGAGCAUCGACGUGCGGCGCCGCGGGAAGCCCCGGCGGCGAACCACGCUGCCCAAGGUCGUCAAGAUCAUGGACGAGGGACACGACAGCACGCCGUCUCUGCAGGCGAUGGAGGCCAAGCUGGACAUGGCGCGGGCAGAGCUCGAGUCCGCCAAAGGAGAGAGCCUCCAGUUCACGGCGUCCAUGGAGCGCACGCGCACGGAGGCGGCGCGCCUCGCCGAGGAGAUCGGCCGGCUGGAGGAGCAGGAGAAGAAGGCCGGAGCGCAGGUGCGGCAGCUGGAGGCCGCGCUGCGCGACGCCAAGUGCCGGCUGGGCGCCAUCACGGCCGCCAAUGAGAUGGCCGGCGAGAUCCUCGCCGACCUGGAGGCGACGCUGCGGCAGCUGGAGGAGGAGACCGAGGCGGCAGAGAAGGAGAAAACGCUGAUGGAGCAGGAGGGCCAGUGCGUCCUGGAAGACGUGGACAGCGUGGACGCCGAGAUCGCCGCCGCCGAGCAGAGGAUCAGGGGCUCGAUCAGGGAGCUGGAGGCGGCGAGGGCGUCGGAGGCCACGGUGACGGGGAGGCUGAGGGCCGCCGUCGAUGGCACGGCGGUGGAGAGGGCGUCCAUGGCGCCGCGGAGGUCCGGGAACGUGACGCUCCCGAGGUUCGAGUACGAGUACCUGACCGGCCGCGCCGAGGUGGUCCGCGCGGUCGCCGACAAGAAGGUGGCGGCGGCCGAGGCGUGGGUGGAGGCGCGGCGGGCCGGCGAGAAGGAGAUGAUCAUGCGCGCCGAGGCGAUCGAGAGGGAGCUCGGGCUUGAAUUACAUGCCGUGGACGACGACGAGAGCGCGGCGGGGCAGCAGAGGCCGCGCGACGGCUUACAGUGCGCGCACACGUCGAGGAGAGCCGCGAUGGUGAAAGGCUCAUCGGUGGCGCGUCAAGAAGGAAGACGAUGCCACUGUCGCCGUUGCCGCCACCGUCACCGUUGGCGCGGCACCCACGGGCGCAGUCGCUCGCCGUAA